rnacentral:rRNA from 1 species
UCAAGCGGGGAGAUAGCUGGUUCUCGCCGAAAUAUAUUGAGGUAUAGCCUCGGGUGAAUUGCCUCGGAGGUAAAGCACUGGAUGGGCUAGGGGACCUACAAGUCUACCAAACCCAACCAAACUCUGAAUGCCGAGGACAACUGCCCGGGAGUCAGGCAGCGGGAGAUAAGUUCCGUUGCCGAGAGGGAAAGAGCCCAGAUCGUCAGCUAAGGUCCCAAAAUCUAGACUAAGUGUAGAAGGAUGUGGGAGCGCUUAGACAACCAGGAGGUUUGCUUAGAAGCAGCAAUCCUUUAAAGAAAGCGUAAUAGCUCACUGGUCAAGCGACCCUGCGCCGAAAAUGUAACGGGGCUAAGUCUAGUACCGAAGCUACGGGAUCUCGCAAGAGAUCGGUAGGCGAGCGUCCUGAAGGAGAUACACGGUAGACGGUGACGACUACUAACGGCCUUCAGGAGUGACUAUGCGGGCAUGAGUAGCGAUAAACCGGGUGAGAAACCCGGUCGCCGUAAGUCCAAGGUUUCCUGGGGAAGGAUAAUCCUCCCAUGGGUUAGUCGAUUCCUAAGUCGAGGCCGAGAGGCGUAGGCGAUGGAAAGUAGGUUAAUAUUCCUACACCACCAAGGACGGCGUUGAUGUAAGCGGGGACGGAGAAGGAUAGCUCAGCAGGCUGCAUGGUUUGCCUGUUCAAGCCCGUAGGCUGAAUUGCUAGGACCCAUUAGGGACAAACGGCGAUUCAUUAAGGCCGAGAGGUGAUGAGGUCUAGCCCUAGGCUAGGACACUGAGUAAUUCCACGCUUCCUAGAAAAGCCGCGUACGGAGCCCCUUUGGUGAUCGUACUGCAAACCGACUCAGGUGGACGGGGUGAAUAUCCCAAGGCGCGUGAGAGAACCCUGGUUAAGGAACUCUGCAAAUUGACACCGUAACUUCGGGAGAAGGUGUGCCGCUGGCGGUUAGUGACUUCGCGUCACGAAGCUGUCGGUGGUCGCAGUGAAAUGGCGGUUGUGACUGUUUACUAAAAACACAGGACUCUGCGAAGUCGUAAGACGACGUAUAGGGUCUGAUGCCUGCCCGGUGCUGGAAGGUUAAGGGGAUAUGUCAGCGCAAGCGAAGCAUUGAACCGAAGCCCCAGUAAACGGCGGCCGUAACGAUAACGGUCCUAAGGUAGCGAAAUUCCUUGUCGGGUAAGUUCCGACCUGCACGAGGGCAUAACAACAUCCGCACUGUCUCGACCAGGGACUCAGCGAAAUUACAUUGGGGGUGAAGAUGCCCUCUACCCGCGGAAAGACGGAAAGACCCCAUGAACCUUUACUGCAACUUGGCAGUGAUUUUCGGGUUGUUCUGCGUAGGAUAGGUGGGAGGCUUUGAAGCCGGGCUUCCGGGUUCGGCAGAGCCAACGUUGAAAUACCACCCUGAAUAAUCUGGAAAUCUAACCUGCGCCCAUGAUCUGGGCGAGGGACACUGCCUGGUGGGCAGUUUGACUGGGGCGGUCGCCUCCC